GACGUAGGGGGCGAGCGUUUAUUCGGAAUUAUUGGGCGUAAAGCGCUCGUAGGCGGGACUGCAAGUCCGUGUUGAAAGACCUCGGCUCAACUGAGGGACCGGCUCGGAUACUGUGGUUCUUGAGGCAAUCAGAGGGUGAUGGAAUUCCCGGUGUAGCAGUGAAAUGCGUAGAGAUCGGGAGGAACAUCUGUGGCGAAGGCGGCCACCUGGACCAACACUGACACUGAGGCACGAAAGCGUGGGGAGCAAACAGG
rnacentral:rRNA from 1 species